rnacentral:tRNA from 1 species
GCGGGGGCGGAAAGCCCGGUGGAUCGGCCUUCCAAGCUGAAUACCCGGGUUCGAUUCCCGGUACCCGCUCCA